rnacentral:sRNA from 1 species
UGAGAAGCUUCGACUAAGGUUCGACUCGAGCGCCAGCGAGAGAACGUUGCCGCAGGCAACGGCCAGAAGGGCGAGGAGCGAUAGCGACGUAGUUA